UACGUAGGGUCCGAGCGUUGUCCGGAAUUAUUGGGCGUAAAGAGCUCGUAGGCGGUUUGUCGCGUCUGCUGUGAAAUCCCGAGGCUCAACCUCGGGCCUGCAGUGGGUACGGGCAGACUGGAGUGCGGUAGGGGAGACUGGAAUUCCUGGUGUAGCGGUGAAAUGCGCAGAUAUCAGGAGGAACACCGGUGGCGAAGGCGGGUCUCUGGGCAACAACUGACGCUGAGGAGCGAAAGCGUGGGGAGCGAACAGG
rnacentral:rRNA from 1 species